rnacentral:rRNA from 1 species
AGAUUGAACGCUGGCGGCAUGCCUAACACAUGCAAGUCGAACGGCAGCGCGGGUAGCAAUACCUGGCGGCGAGCGGCGGACGGGUGAGGAAUACAUAGGAAUCUACCCUGUCGUGGGGGAUAACGUAGGGAACUUACGCUAAUACCGCAUACGACCGAGAGGUGAAAGCGGCGGACCGCAAGGCGUCGCGCGGCUGGAUGAGCCUAUGUCCGAUUAGCUAGUUGGCGGGUAAGAGCCCACAAGGCGACGAUCGGUAGCUGGUCUGAGAGGAUGAUCAGCCACGACUGGGACUGAGACCGACGGCCCAGACCUCCGUACGGGAGCAGCAGGUGGGAAUAGUUGGACAAGUGGGACGACAAGGCCUAGACUCCGAAGUCAAGUCGACCGG